GACGAACGCUGGCGGCGUGCCUAAUACAUGCAAGUCGAGCGCAGUUGCGAACGGGUGAGUAACGCGUAGGUAACUGCCUCAUAGCCGGGGAUAACUAUUGGAAACGAUAGCUAAUACCGCCUACUGUGAGAUGGACCUGCGUUGGAUUAGCUAGUUUGUGAGGUAAAGGCGCACCAAGGCGACGGUACAUAGCCGAACAUAGAGGGUGGUCGGCCACAACUGGACUGAGAAACGGCCCAAGCUCCUACGGGGGGCAACAGUAGGGGAUCUUCGGGAAUUGGCGGAAGGCGUACCGAGCAACGGCGCGUGAGUGGAGAAGGGUUUCGGAUCGGAAAGCUCUGUUGUUAGAGAAGCGGUAACUAACCAGAAAGGGACGGCUAACUACGUGCCAGCAGCCGCGGUAAUUC
rnacentral:rRNA from 1 species